CCUGACACUGUACUUCUAAUAGUGCUGUUUAGGUCAGUAGAGUAAAAGGUGAUUUUACUUGCCUUUUCCAGCAUUGUGCAGGUCUAUUUGUAGCUGGCUCCACCCCCUUGGCUGACAAACCUGACAAUUUCAGCCAACCCAAUGCAUCAAUCAGCAUCUCCUCAUGGAGCUGCACUGAAUCAAUGAAUCUCUAUGUGGAACAUUCAGCUCCUCUAUGCAGAGCAUGGAGACACUGAAUGUCAGUGCUGCAAAUUGUACAGUGCUACCCCAGUAAUCACCUCUAGUGGCCGUCUGAGUGACUGUCACUAGAGCUGUUCCUAGACAGUAAUGUAAAC